ACCCAAAAAAAUCCCCUCGCUCUGGCUCCUGCUCAGCGAGCCGCCACUGACCGGCCUCCCGCCGGGCACCCCGUCUUCCUCGCAUCGCCGGACUACAUGCUGAGCCACCCUGACGAGCCAUCCGCUAAUCCCAUCCAGAUCUAAUCAUGGAAAACUUAGCAGAUUUGUCAUGUUUCUCUAAGUUGGAUUGGAUUCGUGGAUUUGUUGCAUUCCUUCAGAGGCAUGGUUGCUUUCUCCUCAUGGAAGCCAGCGUCUUCAAGAAGAUGGCAUGGGCAUCGCCAAUGGUGGCCAUGACUAGCAGUCAAUAUUCGCGUCCAGCCGCCAAAAGCCACACCCACUACUUCGUCUAUAGUAUAGCUGAAUCAGGCAUGUGUUAGAUUGUUUGUAGUUGUAAGCGGUGCUGCUGUCAUAAAAGUAUGCAUGGUGAAUUGGUGAUCAAAGGAUUAGUAUCAGACUAGCAGUAAGAUUUGGCUGGCGUUGACUAAUGUUAACAUGCAUUUUUAUUUUGUCUGGUCUUGCUUAAUUUUUGUUUCGACGGGUAUACUGAUUCGAUUAAAAAAUAAU